UACGGAGGGUGCAAGCGUUAUCCGGAUUCACUGGGUUUAAAGGGUGCGUAGGUGGACAUUUAAGUCAGUGGUGAAAUCUUUGGGCUUAACCCGAAAACUGCCAUUGAUACUAUUUGUCUUGAAUUCUCUGGAGGUAAGCGGAAUAUGUCAUGUAGCGGUGAAAUGCUUAGAUAUGACAUAGAACACCCAUUGCGAAGGCAGCUUACUACGGAGUUAUUGACACUGAGGCACGAAAGCGUGGGGAUCAAACAGG
rnacentral:rRNA from 1 species